rnacentral:rRNA from 1 species
UACGGGGGGGGCAAGCGUUGUUCGGAAUUACUGGGCGUAAAGGGCUCGUAGGCGGCCAACUAAGUCAGACGUGAAAUCCCUCAGCUUAACUGGGGAACUGCGUCUGAUACUGGAUGGCUUGAGUUCGGGAGAGGGAUGCGGAAUUCCAGGUGUAGCGGUGAAAUGCGUAGAUAUCUGGAGGAACACCGGUGGCGAAGGCGGCAUCCUGGACCGGCAUUGACGCUGAGGCGCGAAAGCUAGGGGAGCGAACAGG